UGCCAGCCGCCGCGGUAACACGGGGGGCGCAAGCGUUAUUCGGAAUUACUGGGCGUAAAGCGAGUGUAGGCGGUCCGUCAAGUCGAUUGUGAAAUCUCCCGGCUCAACUGGGAGGGUGCGGUCGAAACUGACGGACUAGAGUUCGGGAGAGGAGAGUGGAAUUCCUGGUGUAGCGGUGAAAUGCGUAGAUAUCAGGAGGAACACCGGUGGUGAAGACGGCUCUCUGGACCGAUACUGACGCUGAGAUGCGAAAGCGUGGGGAGCGAACAGGAUUAGAUA
rnacentral:rRNA from 1 species